CCUACGGGGCGCAGCAGUGGGGAAUAUUGGACAAUGGGCGAAAGCCUGAUCCAGCCAUGCCGCGUGUGUGAAGAAGGCCUUCGGGUUGUAAAGCACUUUCAGUGGGGAAGAAAGCCUUGGGGCUAAUACCCUCGAGGAAGGACAUCACCCACAGAAGAAGCACCGGCUAACUCCGUGCCAGCAGCCGCGGUAAUACGGAGGGUGCGAGCGUUAAUCGGAAUUACUGGGCGUAAAGCGCGCGUAGGCGGUCUGAUAAGCCGGUUGUGAAAGCCCCGGGCUCAACCUGGGAACGGCAUCCGGAACUGUCAGGCUAGAGUGCAGGAGAGGAAGGUAGAAUUCCCGGUGUAGCGGUGAAAUGCGUAGAGAUCGGGAGGAAUACCAGUGGCGAAGGCGGCCUUCUGGACUGACACUGACGCUGAGGUGCGAAAGCGUGGGUAGCAAACAGGAUUAGAUACCGAGUAGUC
rnacentral:rRNA from 1 species